AGGUUCAAAUGCAAAGAAUUGGCUAAUAAAAAACUUGUGGAAGCAUGCCCACCAUUGCAUGAUUGUUUGGGUAGUUGUCAGUCAUCUGUACAUCAUUAUUGCAGUGAUCCUAUCGACCUAGUUUGCAAAAGAGACUGUUGUGAAGCAGAAUGUGACUGCGUUUGCAAUUGUUGGCCUGUAUACAUCAUAAUUGGUUAUGUCGUCCUGGGGAUCGAAGUGAUAGUUGAUAUCAUUGGAGUUAUUGUCUUUAUGAAAGGUAAGAAGGCUGCGAGGACUAACGAAAGAGCCCGUCCUGCUUCUCCAGGCAUCUCAAUUUCGAUGUACGAAGCCCAUGUCCAUGCUACGAACCAACCAAAAUAUGAAAAACCUGAAGAAGCAAUGGAUAGCAAUAGGUCUGAGUCUACGGUGUCAAGGACUGAUAUACAUCCACAUGUAAAUGUUGGGGAAAGUAGUUAUUACAUGCACACUAAGAGACGGCCACCUCUGUCGGAUAGGAAUGAAGAUACAGAGGUAAGGACAAAGAAAAAAAGGAAGAAAAAGAACAAGGAAGAGAGAGAAGAACAAGACUAGCUAGUGGAGAUCAUGAUGGUUCUCACUUAUUUGAAAAAAUAGGUUUGAAAAUCUGCAUGCUGUGAUCAUCCGAUACACAACUUUUAACAGAUAUUAUACUACAAAAAUAUACAUGAUUCAUAAUAGGUAAUCAAAUAAGUGGCCCAUCCAGUUCUAAAAAUUAACAGUUUUUAUACAUAUUUACUGAAGAAUCUUAAAAUGAAUUGAAUAAGGGAAAAAUAUUUUAUUGAGAUAAAUAUAUAACAACAUCUUCUGCCUUCAAUUUUGUCCAUUAGGUAUGGCUGGCAUAAAAAAUGUAGGUAAACAUUAAAACCUUGCAAAUUAAAGAAUAUGUUCGCAUUAGUUUUCAUGUCUUAUUUUCAACAUUGAAAAACAAUUUUAAAAGGAACAAAAUAUCAAUUGUCAUUGUGCAAUUCAAUGCAUAUUUGUUGUAUUCAUUGUGCCUGAGCAUAAUAGGAUCAGUAAUUGAUAUAUCUCUCCAGCACAUCAAUGACCGCAAUUAAAAUUGUGUUUAAGAUACUACUAAACUUAUUCAUAAAGCUUGAAGAUAUAUGUGCCAGAUCAUUUUGUGAAUCAAAUGGUGAUCAUUAUCUUAAUGUAAAUCCAUUGUAUAUAACUUAAAAAUAUGUAUGUUUUUUAAAGUCUGAGUUGUUCAUGUUUUAUAUAAUGUAAUUGAAAAUUUGUAGCCAAUAACUAUGCAACCAAAUUCAAAAUGAUUCAUUGUAAUUUAUUUAUUCCUGUUUAAGGCAUAGGGGUAAGACAUAAAAAACCCACAAAGUAGCCUGAUUUGAAAACUACAAUUAAACACAAUAUGAAGAAUGCUGGUGUACCAUGCUUUGCAUUCAUGAAGUCAACUUUCUCAAUGUUACAUGUAGUUAGUUUUUUGUAUGUUGAGACACAUAGCCUAACGAAAAUAUCAUUGUUAACAUAUGUUAUUUUCAGUAAUGCUCCUUCAGUUUGUAAAACGCCAUGUUAAUACAAAUGGGUAUCAAAAGUAAUCGUUUCUAAUGCUGAUUGAAAUGACAUAGCCAGUGCCUGUGUCCUUUCUGACAAUAGUUGAUUGUUAGGAUUGUGUGUGAGCUGCACUGAUUGACAGGAAUUUGUCUUUUUCAAGUGCUAUGGUGUAUCUUGAAUCAUAGAUUAGGCACAGCCUCACUUCAUUUUGUUUAUAAAGGGCUGAUCAAUAAGAGCUGAUCAAUUAGGGCUCAAUUGAGUUGUUCCAUUAUGUUGCUUGGAAUGCAGUAACACUGGACAAACAUUGCCUCAACUAAACGUAAACUGACUGACGUUUUAUAUCAUAUUUUGCAGUCUUGUUCCAUAUUUAGAUGAUCAAAUAUGUGUCAAAUACAAUGCAAUCUCCCAUAAAAACUCAGACCUACCGGUAUUGUCAAAUCUUGGAACUUUGGCUUUGUUGCAUUUAUAUGGAAAAAAAUGUAAAUUGUGUGACUUUUGAUGUCCAACCCUUGACCAUAUGAAGAAUGUUUUUGAUGCUGUAAAUGCCUAAUGAAUAUUAUUUCACCCAUGUAUUAGGAUAGGUAAGAGUUUACAUUUUUCGUAAGUGCUUUAUAUUGCUUGUGGCUUUGAAGUAUCUGUAACCAUUAUUCUUUUGCAAGUUUAUUAAUUUAAAAUGACAUAUAAAACAUGAAGGUUAAGUAAAGAAAAGUUGGCAUUUAAGUGCCACAUUGAGAACUAAUUUAUUACUAAUUUGCUUUGUUCAUCAUUGAACCAUCAUCGGUCAACAAGAUUGUAGAGGUCAGUAUGCUCAUUUCUUGCUGUACUUUCAAGUAUUACUACGUUUAAAAUAUUAAUUUUAUGCCUAUAUGUUAUUUAUAAAUGAUGCAAUCAUAUACAGAUUUUAAUUCAUUUUUAAGCCAUACUUACUACAUACACUUGAACUUGGUACACGUGGUACACUGUAGUCCUCAAGUUAUGUAAAAAGGCAUGUUUCAUAUUUCAGAUUCUUCUGGAAUUACCUUAAGUGUGUUAUAAUACAGUGAAUAAGUGUCCAUGUUUUUAUGAUAAUGAUAAAUACCAUUGAUAUUUGCUGUACUUGAAUCUAACUAAGAAUUCCAGCAAUGUAUUUAAGUUGAUACUCAUGAUGUGUUUUCAUACAUCAAUAUAUAUGUGCUGCUAUAAGGCAACACCAAAUUGAUAUUUCGUUCCGUGGAUCUACCGCUCUUAAUUUUUUGAAAAUGUAAAAAAAAAAAAAAAUUGUGCGUGCCCGGUCCUAUAUUUCAAUCGCCAAGCAGCUUUUUGUGGCAAUAAAUGUUUUAAAGCCUGAAAAAUAAUUAAUUAAAACUUUCUACGCUAUUUUAAGUGUUUUUGUGAAGGGAAGUAACCGAUGCGUGGUGUUUUAUACUGUAAAUUGAUCGGUUUAGCAUUGAUUUCAAUAAUUUCAAUCGAAAUUGCAAAUUUAGGUAUAAACACCGUGGCUCAAAUUUUGAAAAUUUAAUCUUAUUUUUUACAGUCAAUGUCUUUUGACAAUGCUAAAGGUCAUUGUUCAUCGUCUAAUGCACAAAAAAUAAAUUGAAACAAUAAUAAUGCAAUAAAACAUGUGUAUCUGAUACUGGUAGCUAUAAUAUUGCGUUUAUAGUGAUUCAUUUUGGAUGGAAAUUUGAAUGAUGAACAAUGACUCAAAAAAGUAUUAUUUGAUUCAAAUCAUAAUACAAGUGACCAGAAUUGUAUCUUAUGUCGUCGAUGCUGAACAAAGAAGCUUCACUCAACAGGAACUUGGUUCAUUUUUGUUUCAAAUUGAUGUAUGAAAGUCGUUCUUGACCACAUUCUUGAAAAUACAGCUUUAACAAAUAUAUCUCGCAAAUAGCGAUACUUACACUGGUCCGGAUAGACCAAUAAUUAUGUAAGCCUAACCUUAGUUUAUUAUCUUAAUUUCCUUUUUCUUUUACAGCGAUUAUAAAAACAUCUCACUGAACAUAACCUUGUACUUUUCAUUUUGAUAAGCACAUGCCUUAGAUUUUAAAGAGAUUCCGUUAGAUUUAUAUAAGUAGUUUUUCCUAGAAGCAGCGUUAUUUUUUUAUAAUGAUUGAUUGUCAUUCUUAAAAUAUGUUUUAUUUAUAUUAGAAAUUGGGUUUAUUCAUAUAACGUUUGUACUAAAAACAGACGAAUAAAUAGUAUGUAUUCGGACAUGUUCCCAAUGUCCAUUAGAGGUUCAGUUCAAGAUUGCAUUCAAAUGGGUUUAAGGGCAAAUUUAUUAAAAAAUCAGAAAAACAAAUUAUUUUGUUUUUUGCUCGUUCGCUCCAAUUUCUUUUGGCAGAAAUCCGAGAAACGAAACAUUAAUUUGGUGUGGCCUAAGUAGCUGUUUUGUUCAGAAUGUUAAAAGUGUACAAGUUUUUGUAGAUAGAUACAUACUUAUAUAAGGAAGGAAUUUGAGGAGAAAUGAUACAUUUCAAGAAAAAAGUAUAGUUAAUAUUUUCGCUUUGAACAACAAUGGUUUAAGUGAAUGAUUUCUGUUUGUUUAUUUCGUAAAUGAAAUUUUACAUGGUACAGCAAUAGAUUAAGUGUAUGGUUACUGUUUUUAUGUUUAGUAAAUAAAAGUUUACAUUGUACAAAAAUGGUUAAUUUGAUUGUCGAAAUAUUUGUGUACUGCAUAUGUCCAGAAGACAUAUGCUUAUUGAGUGCCAUAAUUCUCUUUAACAAAUUGUGUAACAUAUAUUAUGUAUUUAUAAGUUUAAAGUGGAUAGUUCGUUAUUGGUGUUAAAGUUUAUUUUUUGCUGUACAUGUUUUGAUUAUUUUAAUGUCUUACGUGUUGUUUUAUAGCUCUUUGAAAGGAAACCAACCAAAAAUUAUUUAAGGCAUAAUAACUUUGUCAUAAACCGUUGUGCUUCACAUAAAACGAUAUACAACAUGUGAAGUAUUAUACUGUAUGUAUAUCACUCAAAGAGAAUAUUUUGUGAGCAAAAAUAAUCUUCAAAUUCAAUAAGAAUUUAUCAGUCUGAGAUUAUAUCGUAUGAAAUACGAUAUAAUAAGGCAAUGCAUAAUGUGUUAUGUGAUGUACUAAAUGACAAUUAAAGGCAAUUGAAUCAUUAUUAGCUUGUUACAACCUUAUGCAUCUCAGUGCCAUAAAUAUUUACCAAAUGUAUUGACUAUAUGAAAAAAAAAACCAAUGCUGACCCCUUUAAUCGGAAAAUAUGUUUUAAGUCUGGCCUGUAAAUCAAUGAGACACUUUUAUACAUAAUAAAAGGUUGAAACCAACUGCUUUGCAGUAAACGUUAGUAUAAUGAUUAAAGGAUAUUCAAAAUGAUAUAUACCACGCUAGUAUGAUUCGGAGGUUUCAUCCAACAUUUAGUGAUAAUUGAAGUGUUUGAUAAACAGUAUCAGUGCAGCAUAGUUAUUAUUGACAGAAAUGAAACGCCUUAUUUUACUAGUGCAGUAGUAUCAUCUUAAUAGUGCAGUUUUAUCUGAUAUAAACAUGCAUGUUUUAUGCUAAACACAAUAUAGUCAUGUUGUUAUGCACGAGAUGUUUUUUUUUUAAUUUUAACGUUACGUUUGUUAGUUUAUAAUGUUACGCUUGUUGAUACACUGAACGCACUGAAAGAAAAGGUAUUUGGAUAAGUUGCCCUGUUUAUUUCAUCAAUGAAGUAAUUUCAUAUACUUACACUCUUUAGUAAAGUAUGCAUUCAUUGUGAGGCAUAAAUUGUGCACUAUUGACAUUCAAUAACUUGUAGGAAUGUUAGCUGGGGGGGGGGGACGGUCCCCACAAUAUAAGAAGAGCCAAUGAAAAAAUGCUCAUUCGAUCUGCAUACCUUCAAUAUCUAGUCCAAUGCCAGGUUUAUAUUCAGCACGUUUACUGCAUCUUUAGGUUUUACUUGUAAAAUAGUAAUGUUUGAAUACUUUAUCAAUGAUUUAUGUAGGUGGUCGUUUUGGUUCUUGUUUUGCAUGUAAUAAGCACUUUAUCAAAAGACGUGAUAAAGCAUGACUUUAUUUAGCUAUUCGUUUGAUCCUAACAUGAAAUAUGUGUAAUUUAUGAAUGUAUCUUUUUACUGUCUCUGUCAAAUAUAUAAUACAUGUCCAUUCCAUGUUGUUCUGUAAAAUAGCUUUCGUUUUUAAAAGUGUAUAGUUUCAGUUUUAAAAAUAAACGUUUAUCAUAAAUGAAAACAUUACAGCCUUUUUGUUAUGAAUGUAGCACUGCAUUGAGUGCUACCAUGUUUGUUUUCAUUAUGCCAUAGUAAAUACGUGAAUCUGUGUCAUUGCGUAAUGUGUUUGUCAAACUUUGAUUAUUACUUUGGGAAGUACGUGCUCAGAGACAUAAAACAUGAAGCCAUCUUGAAUAAUACUUUAAUUGAUUUAAGGAAUAAAAGAUUAAAGUUUGCA